AACGAACGCUGGCGGCAUGCCUAAUACAUGCAAGUCGAACGAUCUCUUCGGAGAUAGUGGCGCACGGGUGCGUAACGCGUGGGAAUCUGCCCUUGGGUUCGGAAUAACUUCGGGAAACUGAAGCUAAUACCGGAUGAUGACGUAAGUCCAAAGAUUUAUCGCCCAAGGACGAGCCCGCGUAGGAUUAGCUAGUUGGUGGGGUAAAGGCCUACCAAGGCGACGAUCCUUAGCUGGUCUGAGAAGAUGAUCAGCCACACUGGGACUGAGACACGGCCCAGACUCCUACGGGAGGCAGCAGUAGGGAAUAUUGGACAAUGGGCGCAAGCCUGAUCCAGCAAUGCCGCGUGAGUGAUGAAGGCCUUAGGGUUGUAAAGCUCUUUUACCCGGGAUGAUAAUGACAGUACCGGGAGAAUAAGCUCCGGCUAACUCCGUGCCAGCCGCCGCCGUAAAAC
rnacentral:rRNA from 1 species